GACUGAUGAUGAGGGAAAUUUUUUAGCAUAAUUUUAAAUCUCUCCGAGGCUUGGUAGACAUUCUCUUUUUCUUUUUGUCUAAAACUAAGAAUCUAGCUUCUCAAACG
rfam:Capsicum annuum cultivar Zunla-1 chromosome 3, whole genome shotgun sequence